rnacentral:rRNA from 1 species
ACGAACGCUGGCGGCGUGCUUAACACAUGCAAGUCGAACGGAAAGGCCCUGCUUUUGUGGGGUGCUCGAGUGGCGAACGGGUGAGUAACACGUGAGUAACCUGCCCUUGACUUUGGGAUAACUUCAGGAAACUGGGGCUAAUACCGGAUAGGAGCUCCUGCUGCAUGGUGGGGGUUGGAAAGUUUCGGCGGUUGGGGAUGGACUCGCGGCUUAUCAGCUUGUUGGUGGGGUAGUGGCUUACCAAGGCUUUGACGGGUAGCCAGCCUGAGAGGGUGACCGGCCACAUUGGGACUGAGAUACGGCCCAGACUCCUACGGGAGGCAGCAGUGGGGAAUAUUGCACAAUGGGCGGAAGCCUGAUGCAGCAACGCCGCGUGCGGGAUGACGGCCUUCGGGUUGUAAACCGCUUUCGCCUGUGACGAAGCGUGAGUGACGGUAAUGGGUAAAGAAGCACCGGCUAACUACGU